rnacentral:tRNA from 2 species
AUUAAAUUGGCAGAAUUUAUGCAUUAAAUUUAGAAUUUACUUAAGUAAUUAAUAUUACAUUUAAUA